CUGGCAGAUACAUAUGCACGUGUGUGUAUGACCAAAAUAGGCUGCACACUCUCUUCAAUCAUUUUUUGAUUUGUAAAAUUUCCGUUUUGCAAUUAGUGGCAUCAUACAGUUGAUAGUGGUCAUUUUUUCCCACAUUUUUGGUAUUUGAAGUUAGGGUGUACAUUAUUGUUGACUGUAGGUUUGGUGAAGUAGGGUAAAUCCUGACUAUGACACUUAAUAUUUUUAGGAGUCAAGGCCCCUCCUUUCUUAGCCUAGCUUUCCUGAUCCUGUCCUUCUCAGCCUCCUAAUUGACUCCUUUGUCCACCUCUUUGUUUCCACAGCACUGCAGUGUCUUGGUGAGGCACUAUAGUGUAUUGGUCCUGGAAUCAGACCACUGGCAUUUGAAUUUUGGCCCCAGCAUUUAUGUAGCUUUUGUAUGUCUCAAUUUCCUCCUCUAUGAAACUGGGAUUAAAAUAAUAACUACCUCAUAAGGCUGGGCAAUAGCUGGGACAUAAGGAAGCAACAGGUGCAAGGAUGGACAGCAAGGAAGUGGCCUCAGAGGAGAGAACAAGUAAGCAACGACAGUAGCAGAGAAUGGGGCAGGGACAGGGUGGGUGUUGGAUCAUAGGGACCACGAGGGCCAUUUGGAAGAUUUAGGCAUUGACCCUUGAGCGUGCAAGGAAGCCAAUGGGGUACUUGGAGUGGAGGAGUGAUAUAAUUGGCCUUCCAUUUUAACAAGAAUUCUUUGCUGUUUUGAGACUGGACAGAAAAGGAUAGGGUGGGCGGUGAAGUCUCCAGUUAAGAAGAUUUUUUUUCUCCGAGUAACCCAGGUGAGAGAGCCUCAGUGACACGGAUGAAAAUGGAAGCAGUGAAGGUGAACUGUGGCUGGAGUCUGUGUAUACUGUGAGAGAACCAAUGGGAUCUAUGAUGGAGAUGGAUUGGAUGGUAGGAGAGAGAGGAACAAAGGAAUCAAAGAUGACUCCAAGAGUUUUGGCCUAAAUAAAUGAACUGAUGGAACUGUCACUUACUGAGAUGGGAAACAUGCAAAAAUAAAUCAGAUUCCAGUUUGGAUGUGUUAAUUUUG
rnacentral:lncRNA from 1 species